GAUGAACGCUAGCUACAGGCUUAACACAUGCAAGUCGCGGGACCGGCGCACGGGUGAGUAACGCGUAUCCAACCUGCCCUUCACCACGGGAUAACCCGGCGAAAGUCGGACUAAUACCGUAUGGUGCAGGCUGGAGAUGCGUCAGAUUGGCUUGACGGCGGGGUAACGGCCCACCGUGGCUCCGAUCGGGAGGGGUGAGGAGAGGAAGGUCCCCCACACUGGAACCGAGACACGGCCCAGACUCCUACGGGAGGCAGCAGUGAGGAGUAUUGGGCAAGGGGCGUAAGCCUGAACCAGCCAAGCAGCGGGCAGGACGACGGCCUAUGGGUGGUAAACUGCUUUGAUGCGGGGAUAGGUACCGCAUGAAUAAGGACCGGCUAAUUCCGUGCCAGCAGCCGCGGUAAUUC
rnacentral:rRNA from 1 species